GACGAACGCUGGCGGCGUGCUUAACACAUGCAAGUCGAACGGAAAGGCCCUGCUUUUGUGGGGUGCUCGAGUGGCGAACGGGUGAGUAACACGUGAGUAACCUGCCCUUGACUUUGGGAUAACUUCAGGAAACUGGGGCUAAUACCGUAUAGGAGCUCCUGCUGCAUGGUGGGGGUUGGAAAGUUUCGGCGGUUGGGGAUGGACUCGCGGCUUAUCAGCUUGUUGGUGGGGUAGUGGCUUACCAAGGCUUUGACGGGUAGCCGGCCUGAGAGGGUGACCGGCCACAUUGGGACUGAGAGACGGCGCAGACUCCUACGGGAGGCAGCAGGGGGGAAUAUUGCACAAUGGGCGGAAGCCUGAUGCAGAAACGCCGCGUGCGGGAUGACGGCCUUCGGGUUGUAAACCGCAUUCGCCUGUGACGAAGCGGGAGUGACGGUAAUGGGUAAAGAAGCACCGGCUAACUACGUG
rnacentral:rRNA from 1 species